ensembl:snoRNA small nucleolar RNA SNORA19
AUGCACAGUUCAUUGUCCAGCUCUGCUGUUGUCAGUGCUGAGAUAUUUCUGAUGUGCUAAAACAAAUUGGAGGUUAAUUAGCAGAGUGGCGACAUGUGCCAAAGCUGCCAGUCACCUUCACACACCA